AUAAUUACAUUCAAGCAUUAUUUGAAAACAUACAAACUAUAAAUUUUAACUUAAAAAUGCUUUUCAAUAUAACUUAUUGUAACACAUUAUUAUAUUUUCUGAUAUUUACUGCUAACUAUUUUAAAAAUCAUUUUGAUAUUAUUAUGCUACAUAUCGAAAAUUUAUUUUGUAUAAACUUAUUAACCAAGCAAAUCAUAAAAUACAAAAAUCUUUAACAAUCUAUAUAAUAACUUCUAGAAAUAAAUAUUAAGUUGCGAUUCUCCAUAAAUAUAGUAACUAAAUGUCGAGCGUAUCAUUAAAUUAGCCAUAAUAUUAGGCAUAUAUAGUCACUAACCAAUAUCAGUGCAUAAUAAAUUCCUAAAAAAUUUAUAUACAUAAGAUAUUCCUUAAAUAUGGCAACCGAAUUAAAACAAAGCAUUAAAGCCAACGAUUAGUUUAGGCAUAUGGCAUAUUCUUGAUUUUGUUAGCUAUGAUUUCCACAUUUUCACGGCGUAAAUCGAAAAUACUCACAAUACCUCAUACUUAAUAUAAAUAUAGAGCAUGUUCCUAUCGACAAGGUCACAAACCACAGACCUCACGAAAAAACCUAUGGCAUCUAAUAUGAAAUUUGAGCUUAUUAAGGAUCUGAAGCCUUGGAAAACAAUUUGGGCAUUGCAUGUUAAGGUCUUACACACAUGGAAACAACAAACAGGCGACACCAUGGAGAUCAUCUUAGCAGAUGAUAAUAGGUCUAAAAAAUCCAUGCAACAUGCAGAAUGACUUACAUUGAGAGUAAAAGGAGGCUACUUCCGGUGGGUGCAUGGUGAAACACACAGGAAUUUCCUGACUCCUGCAAGAGGAUCAAACCUAUCAACAGAUCAUGCAUACAAGAUGGUGUUUGUUCAAACCACAGCCAUUAAUCGGUCCAAUCAAAUUAAUGAUGAUUUGUAUCUUAGUUUUGUUGACUUCCAGACAGUUUUAUCUGGAUCGUUUGAUGAAAUUUUCUUAGUUGAUUGCUAGGACAGGUUUUGGAUUGUCAAUUCAAUGUACCGGUGGCAACGGAAGAAAGAAACUUGAGUUAACCCUUCGUGACAUCAAUGACGGAGGGUUACCAUGUUGCCUAUGGUGGUUUGUUGUUAAGCCGGGCUAAAAUUUGAAGGUUUAGAGGACAAAUUCAAAUCUCUAAUGCAUUUGACCCUUCUCAAGCGUUGAUCAAUCCGGCAAUACUAGAAGUAUACAAAUUUAUAAAAAUGUACAGACGUACAGUGGGGAUUGACCAAAAAAAAGGUACAGUGGGGAUACAACACUUACAAUGAUUCAAGGUAAGGAGGUUAUGCCAAUGGAAAACAACAACAACAACUGGAGUUCAGCGUGAUAAGUGGUUGACCUUCCCCACUAAAAACAUUCAACAAAUUCAAGUAUCAAGUCAGGUAAUGGCUUUAGAAAUCGUGCCUGAAAUUGAUAUUAUA